rnacentral:rRNA from 1 species
UACAGAGGGUGCAAGCGUUGUUCGGAAUUAUUGGGCGUAAAGGGCGCGUAGGCGGCCCGGUAAGUCAAAGGUGAAAUCCCUCGGCUCAACUGAGGAACUGCCUUUGAAACUGUCGGGCUUGAGGCCGGGAGGGGGUAGCGGAAUUCCCAGUGUAGCGGUGAAAUGCGUAGAUAUUGGGAGGAACACCGGUGGCGAAGGCGGCUACCUGGACCGGUUCUGACGCUGAUGCGCGAAAGCGUGGGUAGCAAACAGG